rnacentral:rRNA from 1 species
GCCCUAGUUCUGACCGUAAACUAUGCCAUCUAGCGAUCCGAUGGGGUAUAUUUGCCUUGUCGAGGAGCUUCCCGGAAACGAAAGUCUUUCGGUUCCUGGGGUAGUAUGGUUGCAAAGCUGAAACUUAAAGAAAUUGACGGAAUGGCACCACCAGGAGUGGAGCCUGCGGCUUAAUUUGACUCAACACGGGAAAACUCACCCGGCCCGGACACCGCAAGGAUUGACAGAUUGAAAGCUCUUUCUCGAUUUGGUGGUUGGUGGUGCAUGGCCGUUCUUAGUUGGUGGAGCGAUUUGUCUGGUUUAUUCCGAUAACGAGCGAGACUCUAGCCUGCUAAAUAGUGGCUGGAUUUUUUCGUCCAGUCUACUUCUUAGAGGGAUAAGCGGUGUUUAGCCGCACGAGAUUGAGCGAUAACAGGUCUGUGAUGCCCUUAGAUGUCCGGGGCUGCACGCGCGCUACAAUGGAAGAAUCAGCUGGCCUAUCCAUUACCGAAAGGUAUUGGUAAACCGUUGAAACUCUUCCGUGACCGGGAUAGGGAAUUGUAAUUAUUUCCCUUGAACGAGGAAUUCCUAGUAAGUGUGAGUCAUCAGCUCACGCUGAUUACG